rnacentral:rRNA from 1 species
UACGUAGGGUGCAAGCGUUUGUCCGGAAUUAUUGGGCGUAAAGAGCUCGUAGGCGGUCUGUCGCGUCGGCUGUGAAAUCCCGAGGCUCAACCUCGGGUCUGCAGUCGAUACGGGCAAACUAGAGUAUUGCAGGGGAGACUGGAAUUCCUGGUGUAGCGGUGAAAUGCGCAGAUAUCAGGAGGAACACCGGUGGCGAAGGCGGGUCUCUGGGCCGUAACUGACGCUGAGGAGCGAAAGCGUGGGGAGCGAACAGG